rnacentral:rRNA from 1 species
CCUGGCUCAGGAUGAACGCUGGCGGCGUGCCUAAUACAUGCAAGUCGAGCGAACAGAUAAGGAGCUUGCUCCUUUGACGUUAGCGGCGGACGGGUGAGUAACACGUGGGUAACCUACCUAUAAGACUGGGAUAACUUCGGGAAACCGGAGCUAAUACCGGAUAAUAUUUCGAACCGCAUGGUUCGAUAGUGAAAGAUGGUUUUGCUAUCACUUAUAGAUGGAUCCGCGCCGUAUUAGCUAGUUGGUAAGGUAACGGCUUACCAAGGCAACGAUACGUAGCCGACCUGAGAGGGUGAUCGGCCACACUGGAACUGAGACACGGUCCAGACUCCUACGGGAGGCAGCAGUAGGGAAUCUUCCGCAAUGGGCGAAAGCCUGACGGAGCAACGCCGCGUGAGUGAUGAAGGUCUUCGGAUCGUAAAACUCUGUUAUUAGGGAAGAACAUACGUGUAAGUAACUAUGCACGUCUUGACGGUACCUAAUCAGAAAGCCACGGCUAACUACGUGCCAGCAGCCGCGGUAAUACGUAGGUGGCAAGCGUUAUCCGGAAUUAUUGGGCGUAAAGCGCGCGUAGGCGGUUUUUUAAGUCUGAUGUGAAAUCCCACGGCUCAACCGUGGAGGGUCAUUGGAAACUGGAAAACUUGAGUGCAGAAGAGGAAAGUGGAAUUCCAUGUGUAGCGGUGAAAUGCGCAGAGAUAUGGAGGAACACCAGUGGCGAAGGCGACUUUCUGGUCUGUAACUGACGCUGAUGUGCGAAAGCGUGGGGAUCAAACAGGAUUAGAUACCCUGGUAGUCCACGCCGUAAACGAUGAGUGCUAAGUGUUAGGGGGUUUCCGCCCCUUAGUGCUGCAGCUAACGCAUUAAGCACUCCGCCUGGGGAGUACGACCGCAAGGUUGAAACUCAAAGGAAUUGACGGGGACCCGCACAAGCGGUGGAGCAUGUGGUUUAAUUCGAAGCAACGCGAAGAACCUUACCAAAUCUUGACAUCCUUUGACCGCUCUAGAGAUAGAGUUUUCCCCUUCGGGGGACAAAGUGACAGGUGGUGCAUGGUUGUCGUCAGCUCGUGUCGUGAGAUGUUGGGUUAAGUCCCGCAACGAGCGCAACCCUUAAACUUAGUUGCCAGCAUUCAGUUGGGCACUCUAAGUUGACUGCCGGUGACAAACCGGAGGAAGGUGGGGAUGACGUCAAAUCAUCAUGCCCCUUAUGAUUUGGGCUACACACGUGCUACAAUGGACAAUACAAAGGGCAGCGAAACCGCGAGGUCAAGCAAAUCCCAUAAAGUUGUUCUCAGUUCGGAUUGUAGUCUGCAACUCGACUACAUGAAGCUGGAAUCGCUAGUAAUCGUAGAUCAGCAUGCUACGGUGAAUACGUUCCCGGGUCUUGUACACACCGCCCGUCACACCACGAGAGUUUGUAACACCCGAAGCCGGUGGAGUAACCAUUUUGGAGCUAGCCGUCGAAGGUGGGACAAAUGAUUGGGGUGAAGUCGUAACAAGGUAGCCGUAUCGGAAGGUGCGGCUGGAUCA